UUGGCAUCUCAUUAAUGAAGAAGGGCUGGUGUCUCUCAUUACAGUUAGAGUGAGUGAGAGGACCUCAGAACUAAUUUACUUGCUCUCACUAGGGAAGACACUUGCCUCCAUCAAGAACUUCACUUUCCUGCUGCCUGUGGCAAUAAAAGAACCCGUUUUGUUUUAACAUUAAUAAGGAAAUUCCACUCAUUGAUAAAGCUCGGCUUUGACACCCCUGCUCACAAUGAAAUACCUUCCUUGCCAACCACAUUGCUUUAUGAUCGUGCCCCUUUACCACAUUGUACUUGAAAUGCCUUGUCAUUUAAGAAACCAUAAAAACGACGUCUUUAAAAAUGGGUUCGUCAUUUAGCUGGAGAUGGCUUCUGUGCCUGGAACCAGAAGCCUGUCCUCUCGGUGGUAUGCCUCCACAAAAGGAAGCGAGCUACCACAAAGGACAGCAUCAUGUGUUGCCUUGAUUGCUACUGAAUCGG
rnacentral:antisense_RNA from 1 species